UACGAAGGGUGCAAGCGUUAAUCGGAAUUACUGGGCGUAAAGCGCGCGUAGGUGGUUCGUUAAGUUAGGAGUGAAAGCCCCGGGCUCAACCUGGGAAUUGCUUCUAAAACUGGCGAGCUAGAGUAUGGUAGAGGGUGGUGGAAUUUCCUGUGUAGCGGUGAAAUGCGUAGAUAUAGGAAGGAACAUCAGUGGCGAAGGCGACCACCUGGACUGAUACUGACACUGAGGUGCGAAAGCGUGGGGAGCAAACAGGAUUAGAUACCCGCGUAGUCCCU
rnacentral:rRNA from 1 species